rnacentral:rRNA from 1 species
CCUACGGGAGGCAGCAGUAGGGAAUUUUCGUCAAUGGGCGCAAGCCUGAACGAGCGAUGCCGCGUGAGUGAAGAAGGCCUUCGGGUCGUAAAGCUCUGUUGCGGGGGAAAAAAGGCAGCAUCAGGAAAUGGGUGCUGACUGAUGGUGCCCCGCCAGAAAGUCACGGCUAACUACGUGCCAGCAGCCGCGGUAAUACGUAGGUGGCGAGCGUUAUCCGGAAUGGUUGGGCGUAGAGGGUGCGCAGGCGGUCCUGCAAGUCUGGAGUGAAACGCAUGAGCUCAACUCAUGCAUGGCUUUGGAAACUGGAGGACUGGAGAGCAGGAGAGGGCGGUGGAACUCCAUGUGUAGCGGUAAAAUGCGUAGAUAUAUGGAAGAACACCAGUGGCGAAGGCGGCCGCCUGGCCUGUUGCUGACGCUGAGGCACGAAAGCGUGGGGAGCAAAUAGGAUUAGAUACCCUUGUAGUC